ensembl:misc_RNA 7SK 7SK RNA
GGAUGUGAGGAGGACCUGGCUGUGUGUGACAUCUGUCACCCUGUUGAUUGAUUGCCAGGGUGGAUUUGGUUGAUCUGGCUGAGUGUUCAAGUGUCCCCUUCCUCCCUCCCUGUUCCAUGUGUGUCCCUCCUGAAGUUGCAAUGCUCAGUGGAAGAGUGAAACCUUCCCUGAGCAGGGAAAGGCAAGAAGGUGGGUCUUUGGUCAAAGGUAGCUGUGCUGCCCUGCUAGAAUCCCCAAGCAAGCUCUUAAGAAGCCCAGACAAGUCUCUUGUAUUGACAGGAUAUACAACUGAUAAUUCCUAAUGGCCAUAGGGAGCGUGGGAAAAGCCUAGGAAUAGAUUUUCUUUCUAUGAAUCC